AUGUCUGUGUUCAAACUUCCUCGAGGUUUAUGCCAGCAUAUUACAACCUUGGUCAGGAAGUUCUGGUGGGGGAGCAAGAAAGGCGAGAGGAAGACUGCCUGGGUAACUUGGGACACAAUGACAAUGCCAAAAUAUAAGGGGGGCCUAGGUUUCCGUGACCUGGAACUUUUUAAUUUGGCGCUGUUGGCGAGGCAGGCAUGGAGGGUACUACAAGACCCAAAGUCUCUCAGUGCACGAAUUCUCAAAUCAGUUUAUUUCCCUCACACAGAUAUUUUAGCGGCUGAAUUGGGAAGCCACCCCUCACAAGUUUGGAGGUCGUUAUGCGAAGGGAGAGAUGUUCUCCGCUCAGGUCUAAUAAAACGCAUUGCUGAUGGACGUGACACAAGAAUAUGGAAUGAAAAACUGGAUUCCCAGAGAUCACCGGCUAAGGCCCUUAGAGCAUCUCUAGCAGACACCGCAUAA
rnacentral:rRNA from 1 species